UCAUCUUCGGGGGUAGAGCACUGUUUCGGCUAGGGGGUCAUCCCGACUUACCAACCCGAUGCAAACUGCGAAUACCGAAGAAUGUUAUCACGGGAGACACACGGCGGGUGCUAACGUCCGUCGUGAAGAGGGAAACAACCCAGACCGCCAGCUAAGGUCCCAAAGUCAUGGUUAAGUGGGAAACGAUGUGGGAAGGCACAGACAGCCAGGAUGUUGGCUUAGAAGCAGCCAUCAUUUAAAGAAAGCGUAAUAGCUCACUGGUCGAGUCGGCCUGCGCGGAAGAUGUAACGGGGCUAAACCAUGCACCGAAGCUGCGGCAGCGACACUAUGUGUUGUUGGGUAGGGGAGCGUUCUGUAAGCCGUUGAAGGUGUGCUGUGAGGCAUGCUGGAGGUAUCAGAAGUGCGAAUGCUGACAUAAGUAACGAUAAUGCGGGUGAAAAACCCGCACGCCGGAAGACCAAGGGUUCCUGUCCAACGUUAAUCGGGGCAGGGUGAGUCGACCCCUAAGGCGAGGCCGAAAGGCGUAGUCGAUGGGAAACAGGUUAAUAUUCCUGUACUUGGUGUUACUGCGAAGGGGGGACGGAGAAGGCUAUGUUAGCCGGGCGACGGUUGUCCCGGUUUAAGCAUGUAGGCGGAGGUUCCAGGUAAAUCCGGUACCUUUUUAACGCUGAGGUGUGAUGACGAGGCACUACGGUGCUGAAGUAACAAAUGCCCUGCUUCCAGGAAAAGCCUCUAAGCAUCAGGUAACACGAAAUCGUACCCCAAACCGACACAGGUGGUCAGGUAGAGAAUACCAAGGCGCUUGAGAGAACUCGGGUGAAGGAACUAGGCAAAAUGGUGCCGUAACUUCGGGAGAAGGCACGCUGAUAUGUAGGUGAAGUGAUUUACUCAUGGAGCUGAAAUCAGUCGAAGAUACCAGCUGGCUGCAACUGUUUAUUAAAAACACAGCACUGUGCAAACACGAAAGUGGACGUAUACGGUGUGACGCCUGCCCGGUGCCGGAAGGUUAAUUGAUGGGGUUAUCCGUAAGGAGAAGCUCUUGAUCGAAGCCCCGGUAAACGGCGGCCGUAACUAUAACGGUCCUAAGGUAGCGAAAUUCCUUGUCGGGUAAGUUCCGACCUGCACGAAUGGCGUAAUGAUGGCCAGGCUGUCUCCACCCGAGACUCAGUGAAAUUGAACUCGCUGUGAAGAUGCAGUGUACCCGCGGCAAGACGGAAAGACCCCGUGAACCUUUACUAUAGCUUGACACUGAACACUGGUCCUUGAUGUGUAGGAUAGGUGGGAGGCUUUGAAGUGUGGACGCCAGUCUGCAUGGAGCCAUCCUUGAAAUACCACCCUUUAAUGGCUGGUGUUCUAACGUGGACCCGUAAUCCGGGUUGCGGACAGUGUCUGGUGGGUAGUUUGACUGGGGCGGUCUCCUCCUAAAGAGUAACGGAGGAGCACGAAGGUUAGCUAAUCCUGGUCGGACAUCAGGAGGUUAGUGCAAAGGCAUAAGCUAGCUUGACUGCGAGAGUGACGGCUCGAGCAGGUGCGAAAGCAGGUCUUAGUGAUCCGGUGGUUCUGAAUGGAAGGGCCAUCGCUCAACGGAUAAAAGGUACUCCGGGGAUAACAGGCUGAUACCGCCCAAGAGUUCAUAUCGACGGCGGUGUUUGGCACCUCGAUGUCGGCUCAUCACAUCCUGGGGCUGAAGUAGGUCCCAAGGGUAUGGCUGUUCGCCAUUUAAAGUGGUACGCGAGCUGGGUUUAGAACGUCGUGAGACAGUUCGGUCCCUAUCUGCCGUGGGCGCUGGAGAAUUGAGGGGGGCUGCUCCUAGUACGAGAGGACCGGAGUGGACGCAUCACUGGUGUUCGGGUUGUCAUGCCAAUGGCAUUGCCCGGUAGCUAAAUGCGGAAGAGAUAAGUGCUGAAAGCAUCUAAGCACGAAACUUGCCCCG
rnacentral:rRNA from 1 species